rnacentral:rRNA from 1 species
GAUGAACGCUAGCGAUAGGCUUAACACAUGCAAGUCGAGGGGCAGCAUGGUCUUAGCUUGCUAAGACUGAUGGCGACCGGCGCACGGGUGCGUAACGCGUAUGCAACUUGCCUCACAGAGGGGGAUAACCCGUCGAAAAACGGACUAAUACCGCGUACACUCUAUUUUGGGCAUCCAAGGUAGAGGAAAUGAAAUUCGCUGUGAGAUAGGCAUGCGUCCCAUUAGCUAGUUGGUGAGGUAACGGCUCACCAAGGCGACGAUGGGUAGGGGAACUGAGAGGUUGAACCCCCACACUGGUACUGAGACACGGACCAGACUCCUACGGGAGGCAGCAGUGAGGAAUAUUGAUCAAUGGGCGAGGGCCUGAACCAGCCAAGUCGCGUGAAGGAUGACUGUCUUAUGGAUUGUAAACUUCUUUUGUAGGGGAAUAAAGAGGGGCACGUGUGCCCCAGUGAAUGUACCCGACGAAUAAGCAUCGGCUAACUCCGUG